rnacentral:rRNA from 1 species
GAUAAACGCUGGCGGCGUGCCUAACACAUGCAAGUCGAACGCCUUUCGCUUCGGCGGAGGGAGUGGCGGACGGGUGAGGAACACGUGGGUCAUCUACCUUGAGGUGAGGAAUACCGGCGAGAAAUCGCCGACAAUACCGCAUGCCCUUCUUGAGAAAGAAGGAAAGUCUCGCAAGAGACGCCCCAAGAUGAGCCUGCGCCCGAUUAGCUAGUUGGGGGGGUAAAAGCUUCCCAAGGCGACAAUCGGUAGCUGGUCUGAGAGGACGAUCAGCCACACU